rnacentral:rRNA from 1 species
UACAGAGGUGGCAAGCGUUGUUCGGAAUUACUGGGCGUAAAGGGCGCGUAGGCGGCUUGGUCAGUCCCGUGUGAAAUCCCUCGGCUCAACUGAGGAACUGCACGGGAAACUGCCUGGCUUGAGUUCGGGAGAGGGAAGCGGAAUUCCGGGUGUAGCGGUGAAAUGCGUAGAUAUCCGGAGGAACACCGGUGGCGAAGGCGGCUUCCUGGACCGACACUGACGCUGAGGAGCGAAAGCCAGGGGAGCAAACGGG